UACGUAGGGCGCAAGCGUUAUCCGGAAUUAUUGGGCGUAAAGAGCUCGUAGGCGGCUCGUCGCGUCGGCCGUGAAAACCAGCAGCUUAACUGCUGGCUUGCGGUUGAUACGGGCGGGCUAGAGUUCGGUAGGGGAGACUGGAAUUCCUGGUGUAGCGGUGAAAUGCGCAGAUAUCAGGAGGAACACCGAUGGCGAAGGCAAUCCCCUGGGCCUGCACUGACGCUCAUGCACGAAAGCGUGGGGAGCAAACAGG
rnacentral:rRNA from 1 species